rnacentral:snoRNA from 1 species
AUGGCCCUGAAUCAAGGCCAGUAGUUUGCUGAAGAUGUUGGUUUCAAACAGGAGCCUAAAGAAAUGUCUUUCUAUGGUCUUCUGGCUAUUUCAGAACUUUGGAAAUGUAAUGGUCAAUUUGUUGGAAAGAAACGUGA